ACGUUGUUGUGACCAAACACCUGAAAGAAACAAGAGAGGGCUGUUUUGUCUUGUGGUUUCAGAACAGUUCUUUGAGACACAUGGUCAUCAUGGCAGCUAGGAUGCCUGUUUGUGAGCCUCUGUACCAGAGACUUUCCACAGAGAUCUCUGGCCCAGCCUGGGGCUAGGUUCCAGCGAAGGGAAGCGAGUGUGGGUGUGCGGGCAGGAAGGGGAAGUCGCGUCCACCACUUCUGCUGCUGCAGUUGGCUCCUGUCUCUGCCGUGCCUUCCUGCCUUCCGGGCUACUCAGUUACUCUGCGCUGCCCUGCACUGAGUCAUGUCGGGCUGGACCAACGAGAGGCUGACUAGCCAGUGAGGAGUGCGGCGGAGCUUCAGAUGGCGUUUCAGGAGAGCAGACCUCUUCCCAAGUGUUACAGUUCUUAAAACAGAAGGCUCGGAUGACAGAGUAGUUUUCUCGCACUUUCAAUUCCCUGGAUAGGAUUUAUAUACAGUUUUGGGAGUGAUUCAGAGUUCGACAGCAGAUACCUCUCAUUGGCUUGGGGAAACCUUAUUUGCAAGUGGGAAGACUUGGUGCUGCUCCUACGUGACUGAGAGCCACACAGCUCUACUGUGGGGAGCUGUGGGAGCCUUUAACUGUGACCGGAGCCAGGGGCCCAGGAGGUGUGGUUGAACACCUUCGGUCCCAUCCAGGGGGAAAUCACCACCCACCCGGUCACCGGGAUUCCAGACAAAGGAAGUGUAUGCUGGUGAAUUCUCGCUCUUUGGCAAUACCAAAAGAAGGAUGUAUCUCCUCCAGAGGCCACUCCAGUGAACCACUUUUGCCAGCUAUGCCCCAUCACCCCAAAUUUCUAGAGCCCCCAAACCAGCAACGGCAGUUCAAGAAACACCAUCACCCAAGUCUGAGUAAGACACGGCCCAAUUCCAACUGUUCUAACCUUCAAACACAGCCACACUGGGGCUGAGAGCAUGAGGUACAGAUCUUUACAAAGUACGAGUGUGUGGUUUCCUGUGACAGCCAGAAGACAGCAUCGGAUCUCCUGGAGCUUGCGUUUUUUUAGAAGCCACCUGACAUGAGCGCAGGUCUUCUGAAAGAGCAGCAGCUGCUGAUCACCACCAAGCCACCUCUCCAGCCCCAAGGCAUGGGUGUUCUUUGAGGAACGGGAGCAUUCAGUCUCUAGCAGAUUCUUUUCCAGUUUUUCUCUUCCCUCAUCUGGAUUCUACACCACACACACCCUACUGACGGAGAAGCUGUUCACGGCGAGAGCGAAGAGACAGAGAGACAAAAAGGCGAAAAUAUCCAGCCAAGCAGCAAAUAUUUACUGACUUGGUAGAUCUUUUCCUUUACUCCCCUCACAAAUGAAAACAGACCAGAGCAUCCACUACUGUCUUCUCGGAUUAUUGAACUAAAACUAUUUCCCACC
rnacentral:lncRNA from 1 species